rnacentral:lncRNA from 1 species
UCAUGGGCUCGUCGUCUUACAGAUAUCGGUGACGUUUUAGAUGCACGUUACGUUGUUUUUGACGAUGGAAGUAGCCCCGAGUCAUUGUUUCCUGUCACUCUGGCAAGUCAUGCAGUAGCAAUUCAUACCUUUCCUUUUCGUCAACGGGCCUGGUAUUAUAAUGGCUUACUGCCUUGGGUGCAUUUUAUUCCACUCCUACCAGAUGCAUCCGAUUUACCAGAGACUUUGCAAUGGUGCCAGAAGUUCCUUUCGGUUUGUCAGCGAGUAUCUUCGCGUGGUCGUGAACACAUGGUGCGCAUGCUUGAUGCUACGAAUCUAACCGCUGUCAAGUCCGCCGUCGCGAAGCUCUGGAACUUGAGGAUGUAACUUGUCAAUGUCGCCUAAAAGCGCAACACCCGUACUUAUAACUAUACAAACUGCCAGUCUCAGGAGGUGUGGGGGGUGCCGGUGAGGGUACGCUGCGAGGAGGUGGCGGGCGCUCUUUCGAACCGCACCCCUACGCUCAGGGGGUGUAGGGGAGUUACGCCCAGUACUAGCCUGCAUAUCAUCCCAGUCGUAGCUGGCAUCUUCACUGACGUAGCUGGCAUCUUCGAUAGCGUCAUCUAGGGUUUUGGGUCGUAGGAGAUGCACGUUGCGGUAGGUGCGGGGGUGAAAUCCACCUAGGUAGUGGUACAUGUUGUUGUGUGUGGUUACAAGGUGGUGAGCACGACGUGCAUUCCUGUCCUUGUAGAAACCUAGGCCCGGGCCGGGGGGCCCUUAUAACGCCUGCAACACUUAUAUAUGCAGCUAGUUUGGUCCCCGAAUGGGGGUGCUUAUGCUCCUGUGCUCCCAAAUGGAAUCUAGUAACGCGGCUAACCUGGCUGGGUCCGCAUUCUGCAUGACGGCCUGCAUUCCGCCUGUAAAAUCGAUCUCGCUACCCAAACGCAACUGGUCGUAGGCCGUACACCGCAUGAGCACAUGAUUCUCAUCUUCGACUUCAUUUGCAACACAUAGCGGGCAAAUCCUCUCCUCCCUAGGUCGUCCAUAGGCGCGGUUGGCAGUAAGCGGCCAGCAGCAUAGGCGGAACCUCAUCAAGGCCUUGUGGUGCGCAACUGGUAUAAAUGCUCUACUGUGCCCUUGCAUGGUCAGUGGUGCCGCUCCUUCCGCACACAGCCCCAUCCAAUGCUUGUACUUGCUCAUCUGCACGCCUGGUUGCUUGUUGUCUGAUGGGAAAGUGCUUGGCUCAGACUGCAGCCGCUCGUGCUUCCACGCCUUCAUUAGACUCUCUCGAAAGGCGGAUACUAUUUGCCCUUCAGGCAGCGGGCUACCUGCUCGGCUCUCCUCCCUUUCCGGCCUGAUCAUGUGCAUACGGCCUUGCCAUACGUCUACGCCAUGCGCUGAGAUAAAACGGAAAAGCCGUGCACACCACCCAUCUCCCUCUGGGUGUACUAACGCGUCUUGUACUUCAUCAAUUAGUGCAUCAUGAGCUAGGCUAUCCUUCUGCACGGCAAUCCUGUUGUAGAAUCCAAUGCAAAGCUUGGCGAAAAAGAAAUGGAGUGGUAGUUGUGCUAAUUCAGCAAACAGCAGGCGAUGCGAUGGUCGCUUCGUACCCACUGUCAUCCUCAUGUACUGCACUUGUAAUUUGACGGCCUCGUCUUUCAGGCAUGCUUCAAACGGUCCGUGCGCCAGGUUAUUGCUGUCACGCCGCCGCGGUGGUGGGCCGCCGUCCAGCAUUUCCGCUAAUACGUCGGGUCCCCACACUUCACAACCAUAUGCUAGGAUGGAGCGAACUUGCACCUCAAAACAACGCAUGCGUAUGUCGGGGGAGAAAAUCCUCAAACGGUUUAAUCUAUUAGUAAGCGCGUACAUAGCACGCCGCGCAGCCUCACAUAGCGUCUCUCUGCAGGCGGCAAAAGCACGUCCAGGGCCGUAGACUAGUCCCAGAUACCGUGCCUUGUCCACCGCAGGGAUGGGCUGCCCUGCCAGCCGCAGCCCACUGCACUCAUCGUUCAAUCUACGACGCUCCUGGUCGUCUGAAGUGAACACCAGACGUUCACACUUUGCGACGUUUGCUUUCAUACCAAAUGCUUCGCAGAAUGUAUCCACAAGUGACAACAGGUGCCGCAUACGCUCAGGGGUGGUGGCUAGCAGCGAAACAUCGUCAGCGUACAUUAGGAGCGACAGCUUCUUACCGUUUAACUCAGGGGUGCCCGCUGUGCUUGCAGUGUCCAACCAGUCCUCGUGCGCAUCAAUAUACUCUGCCAAAGUUUCAAUAAAGAGCCCGAACAGCUCUGUGCUCAGUGGGCACCCUUGCUUGACUCCUUGCGUUGCCUCAAAAGCAGCGCUCAGUUUGCCAUCGGCUUUAACCGUCAUCAUGACCUUUUCAUAUGCGGCUUGUAUGGCCUCCAACAGCCGCCCUGACACGCCCUUUUCCCGCAGCCGUAGCCACAAGAGGGGGCGCGGCACCUUGUCAAACGCCUUCUCAAAAUCAAUCUGUACAACAAUCAUUGGUGGUGCUCCUGCACGUGUGUGCUUUGUCACCAGGUGCCUCAGGACAAACAGGUGGUGGGCAGUACCGUAUUUCCGCCUGAAACCAGCCUGAGCUGGGUGCCUCCACUUGAACAACUCGCCUGCUCGUGCUAGCCUGUUCAGAAGGAUAGAUGCAUAACACUUAGCCAACGCUCCGCCUACUGCAAUGCCCCUGUAGUUGCCGGGCGUCUUCACAUCGCCCUUUCUCUUGUAAAUUGGCGUCAGCACUGUGGUUGUGAACUGUUCCGGAAAACUUUCAUCUCCGUCUUGCGCCCGCCAGAUGCGGUUAAACAACACUUCUAGAACAGGUGCUACCCGGUUCACCGGCGGGAUGGGGGGGUCUGCCCUGGGGUCUCCCUGCGUCUUUGCGUACUUGUAGCAUUCCGAUGGCGCGGCUUCCGUGCCUGGGGCCUUGCCAUUCGGUAGCCUCUCUAAAGCAUGAGUCACUUCGUCUAUCGAGAUAUCGCUGUUCAAUAUGCUAUCUAACUCAGCCCAUUCCUCGUCAUCAUACAUCGAAUCUCGCCAGCCAUCUUCGUCACAGCAGUACGCCAGUAAACGCUUUGCAGCGCUGUCGUCAACUGUUCCUGCCCCAUCAUUCAGUAGCCGUGCAAAGUGAUCACGGAAGCCAUCUGCCGUGAUGGGGGAUUUGCUCGUGCACCGCUCCUCAAUCAUCUUCCACAGUGCUUUAGCGUCGGCUCUGCACCGUGCUACCCUAUCCCGCAUCACUUGCGCAUCAUGGGCGGCUCUAGCCCUGCGUUUUGCGCGGCAGUACACUGAUCUCGCGGCCCGCAUCGCUUCCCACCUUUCUCCUUCCUUCACAACUGGUUUGCCAAGCGCUACUUUCGCCUGGACGAGCGCGGCACGCGCCACCGCACAUUCCUCAUUCCACCACGGGGUCUCGGUCUCUCGCAGAUGAGCAGGCCUGCUCUGCCCAAACGCCUUCUCCAAUACUCCACUUAGGCACUUGCUCAACGCUUCGACCGCCUCGGUAGUGCUGUACCGCCCUUGCUCCAAGUGGCCUUUUAGCUCUGUUAAUUUGCUUACUACUGGCGACUCAUCUUGUUCGAAAAGAUUGCUAUAGCGCUCACUCUUCUGCGCAUUGAAUGCAGUGCGUGGACGCUUUGCCUUCGCCUGGCCUUCAGUACUUGCUUGACCCUCCACCUCCCAGCUCAAAGUCAGCGUAACAGGCCUGUGAUCACUCGCAUAACCGGCGCCCCUGCGCGCCCAUCUCAGCAGCUCACCCACGUCUACUGACGUCACCGAUUGGAAUAAAGUUGGCGAUGCAAUGCAUAGGUCAAUGACGCUUCCCCCCUCCUCCCCUUUUGGGAAGGUGAUUCGACCCGACUCAUCCCCUGGUGCCCUGCCGUUCAGUAACACAAAACCUUGAGAACGGCACAUACGCGCUAGAAAUUCGCCAAAACAGUUUGCGUGCUUAUCCUGAGAAGCCCUGGCCGGCAACCCCGCGUAAUCCUCUGGACUAGGCAUCGACGUGAGUGCUCCACCCAGUGCCGUGAUAUGCUCCACUUGUUCAAGCGCUGCUAGUUGGUCGAGAUCCGGUAUAUCUCUAAGCCCUGCCGGCAUACGCGCAUUGAGGUCACCUACUAGUAGCACCUCUUCGCCGUUCUGCCGCAUCGCCGAGAUAGCCUGCUGGAGCCUUCCAAAGACGGCCUCAGCUGUGGCUUCCCUUGCCACACGCGUUUUGCCGCCGUCCUUGUAUACGCGCGAGGUUUCCGGCGCAAGGUAACAACAUCCUAAAAGCAGGCUGUCUCCAUCUUUGGAACGUAUCCGCAUCCACACGACUUCACACCCUGUAAGACUCACGUCUGUCCUUAAAUGCAUCACUCCGCCCAUCAGACACUCACGCACAUAAACUGCAACGCCGCCAAAAUCCGACCUUAUAGCUUCUUGCGAUCUAUGUGCACGAAAGACUGCGUAUCCGUCUAGUUCUAUACGGCCGUCUGGCACACGAUGUGUUAGGUGUGCUUCGGAAAUGACCAGGAUGUCGUGCGCUCGUGCGGCUUUAUUGAUGUUGCGGUCGUGAAGCUUGCAAGAGCCUCCAGUGAGAAGUCCGUGAGCGUUCCAUGCCCAGACACUUAUGCCUCCCCGGCCCCCGUCCCACUAAUCCUGGGCAUUACCCAUGUCCGUAUCCGUAUCCGCGCUCAGACCCAUGUCGUGCAGCGGUACAAAUCGAUUCACCCCUGUCGUCGUGUGUCCGGCGCCCCUGGCCCUGCCACCGCCCGCUGUGCGUCCUCCGGCCCUGCCUCCACCCCUGCCAGUGCUGCUACCACCUCCCCUUCCGGCCUGGCUGCGUCCGAGCUGUACUUGCCACCCAUCGUCGUCCACAGCGCUCUUCCCUUUCGGGUUUGCUGGCACUGCGAGCACCUCCCCCCCAGCGCUGACCCUGAAGUCACCUGCCACUGGCUCCGUCGAGGCGCCUGCGGCGGCGGCCGCGGUAGGGGUAGUCGUGCCGGGGACCGAGGCGGUGGCGGCCUUAGUGGCCGCCACAGCUGCUGGCGCGGCCGGAGCGGCUACGGUGGCAGUGGUGGCGGUGGCCGCAGUCAAGGCGGCCGCCCACUCUGCGGCGGCGGGGUCGGCCGGCUGUGCCGCUUUGUACUCUGUGUACGCAGCGGCGAACAGCGCCGCCUGCCCCUGCGCCGGCUUCUGCGUCUGCGCCUGUGCCUGUACCUGCGCUUGCGCCUGCAUCUGCGCCUGCGCCUGUGCCUGCACCUGCGCCUGCGCUUGCGCCUGCGCCUGCACCUGGGCCUGCGCCUGCGCCUGCACCUGGGCCUGCGCCUGCGCCUGCGCCUGCGCCUGCGCCUGUGCCUGCGCCUGCUGCUGCGGUGCCCUGGGGUCUCGCUUCGACCGCGGUAGGUCUGCCGCGCGCGUGGGCGCGUGGUUCCUCACGUCCGCCACCGUGGCGUGUGCAGAGGGCUUUGCAGGCUUGGGCAGCCUUGCCUGCUCAGUGCUCUGCGGUGUACGGGAGCCUCGCUUAUCGCCCGGUUGGUGCGUUGAUGCCGGCUCGUAGCGUGUGAAGCCCUGGAAAGGCCGAAUUGGGGAGGCAGGUAGCGGACCCCGGGACGACCACCCCGGUGUGGCAGACGAGAAGCCGUGGAAGGGCCGAACUGGUGAGGUGGGAGACGAGCCCGAGUUGGCCACGCGGGCUGCCCAGGAGCCUCCCGCCUGACCCUGACUGGUGCCCUGAUCCUGCUGCCGCUGCUGCUGCUGCUGCUGCUGCUGUCCAGGCUUAGGGGGCGGUGGCGGUGGCGGCUGCUGGUGCGGCGGCGUGCGCUCCCCUCCGCUGGGCACGAACUCUGCCUCCGCGUCCAUGUCCGAGCCCGAUCCGUAGCCCAGGUCCGCCCAUGGCACGGCCGGUGCGCUGGGCUCCGGCCUCGCAUACAGCAGUGCCCCACGCCGCCACUCCGGGCGCAUACCGGCCUGGUAUGCUUCGUCGUGGGUGGUUUGAAGCCGCCGCCGCUCCGCCAGGCCUGUGGUCGUGAGGCAGUCGUCCAGCUUGAAGCCGGUGCCCUGGAGCUUCAGCCGCGUGGCCAGGAGGUUCCCGCGGAGGUCCUGGCAUGCCCCCAGAUAGAGCACUGCAAGGCGGGAACUGCGCUUGCGGACCGUCAGGUUCGCGAUGUGGACCUCGUCACUGCUGAGUUUUGUGCAAACUAUCUUGCUUAGCGUCUCUGCGCUGGUAUUGCUCAUGUUGCCCUUGAUGAUCAGCCUAUCUGUGAAGUAAAAGCUGUUCGCGGACACUGGCUGUGCGACAUUGUGUUUGAUCUUAGACUCUACCUCAGCUACCCGCUUUUCCGAGCUAGCUUGACGCUCUCUCAGAACUGCUACAGCACUGGUGUUGAGCUCGGUCUGUGUCCUGAGCUCCUCCAGCUUGCUCAGGAACGCGAGGACCAGGCCGCCGGCACAUGGCUUUUCCGGCUCCCUCUGGGUUUGUUCAACGUACUUGUACCAACUAUUGUCGUUUGUCGACAUGGCUUGAAACGCGGCGACAGGCUAUUUUACAUGUUGUGGGUGGGUGGGUGGUCGGUUCAGCUAUUGUUCAGCUAUUGUUCAGCUAUUGUUCAGCUUGUAGUCGCGGCCAGGCUUGUCAUGACGGGCAAAUAGAUGGCGGAAACGGUCGGAGUUGUCGCGUACAGACUCUCGCAGGCCCUGGCGGCAUGAUGCCAGUUGGCCGUAGAUUUCUGUUUCCUGCUGGGCAUAGCGGUCGAGGAAAGCUUUACUGAACUUGUCCAAGGUAUCAAGCUCCUUACCAGAGUCCGAUACUUUGGCAGAAUGAAGUAGGCGACAGCGGGCAAUGGCUAGCUUGGUGGGGUCGUCCCAACCAAACACCUGCCCAACCCGUUCAAUGGAAUCGAUGCAAUAGUUGGGUCAUCAGCGGAGGGGUUGAACGUGGGGACAGCAGUAAGAGCAGAGGGCAAAAUGCCCUUCUUGAGUUGAGUAGAACGGCUCGAACGCCGGCUUGACGCAGAUGAGAUGGGUUCGGCAUCGGAGUCAACCAUUUUAGCUGUCGCAGUAGGUGGAUAAAUCCGGGCGUAGCCAGGAAAGCUGGGAAUGACGGUAAGGGGACGCAGAGGAGCUCAGGACAACUUCCCGCAACUCCCCCCACUAAAAGCGCAGCACCCGUAAAAAACCGGGAACUACGAAAACUUUUGCGCAGUAACGCGGGCUGUCACUGAGGCACUGGCCACGAUGCAGCUGUAUGACGACAGGCCUGCACCGCUUUCACGCGGGUACCACUCCGGGGGUCAAGGGCGGGAUCGCAAGGUCUAUGCCCAGACUGUCACCCCGACCAUGAAUUGACAUCCCAUUACACAUAUUAAGGUCCCUGGAUGGUGCUCGGGCAUAAUUUUGAGCUAGAGCUCAAGUUGAAAUGCUAUAUGUCGCGUCGCGCUCGCCAGGACCCCGCCAACUUAGCCUGAAGCUAUUUCGAUUACAUCUAUACGAGAAUUAAUGUCGACGGCAAUAGAUUCAGGCCCCAAACAGCGCAUAUGCGAGAUCUGGGCUUCGGUCAAUUUCGCGACUUGAGCCCCGAUAAGCAUAAUUUGGACCUUUGCCGACCACUUCUGGCUGAUGAUGAUGUUGGUUAUGUACCUACAGAAAGGCGGUGUCUAAUCCGUGCGGUAGGAUUUGCCCCGGGGCAACGUCCAACAUGCGGGUUUGGCUGGGAAAACGCACCCCCCGGACGGCAGCCCAGUUUUCACCACGGGCAAUAGCUCGUACAAGACAUCUAACUAGCCAGGCGGAUAGAGGGGGGUAGGUCGAGUCAGCAUCCUUGUACGAGUUAUUGCUCAUAGUGAAAAGGCCCGCGGAAGAAGGGGCUCCCGUAGACCCCAUCCAGCCGACUGGUGGCACCCACGUGACCGCUUUGACCUUCCCAGGGUAUGAGCACGGAGCGUGGAGAGGUUGGACGGCCGCCACGCCUGACCCUUUGUACCAGCAGAUGUCCUGGGCAUUUGCGGGGUGAUUAAGAUGCGUCUGCGGCGAUUACAGCAAUAGUUAAGGAGCUCCUCAGUCACCAAUCGCCGGGUUGCGACCGACCCGUCCCCCGGCGGGUCACCGAAGUCUUCCCCUGCAGAAUGGACUCAUGUUGCUUUCAGAUUGGUUUCGUAUUGUAGAGCGAACAAUCAGCAUUUAUGUGAACGCACGAGAUACGCAGUCACCGAAGCAAGUUCGAACUGGCGACAUGCAAGCUGGAAGCGCACGCACAGGGCACGGCUCCAACUACCUGUGAAUACUAUCCUUUACGGCAUCUCGUAUUGCACAACUCUUCACGAACUUCGCACCCCGGAAAUGUAGCAUGCUAGAAUGGAAGCCCUCGUGGAGCACGCUCAAAGUUUCAAAGCUGCGCACGCAGCUGCCAUUGUCGAACUAUGUUUUGCUGGACGCAAGAGUUUGGAGCAGAGCAGGAGUGCAGUGAACAAAUGGAACCACGCUGGGAAAUGGAGGCUCCCCACGCGCAAUUUGGCGUCCGGGCGAAAGCAGCUGGCUAUCACAGCGCCGGUGGAGCUUUCAAAGCUUUUGGAGCGUUGCUCGCUUGCCGGUGCGGAUGCCGCGCGGGUCGCCGAAGUCGCCCAGCUGCUGAACCCCCUUCUGGGAACAACAGGUAAGCAGAAACGGUCGGCAGGAAAUACUACUGCAUCAAGAGUUACUAAGAGUGGACCUGCCCGGCACCUCAGGCGCGGCCGACGAAACCCCACGCCCCGCGAACGUGCCGCCAGCGCGCGGUGCUGUGCCGGACGCCGCGGCCACAGGUAGGACGCAAGGGGAAGGGUGCGUCGUACAAGUGUCCAUUCGUGUCCUCAUCUCAAGCAAUUCCUUAUGCAGAUGGCGGGCCUGCCGCUAGCCCUGUUGCGCAACCUGCCACAGCUGGACCGCACCCCUCGCCGCCGCAAGGAGUAGGAGCCGGCGUGGCAGCGGGCGUCAACGGGCGUGGCCACGGUACGAAUGCUGGCAAUUGAUAUCCCUGACACGCCUCGCACCGUGUCACUGCAGGGGGGAGUGCCGCCUCUCCACCGCGGGCACCACCUGCAGCAAAUGCUGCCGCCCUGGCGGGUGUGUGUCUCUGUGACUGUGACGGGGUGCACUCAGGGGCUGCUUAUGGAGUCGCGUGAUUGACAGUGAGUGUUCCCACACUUAUCCCGACUCCCUAUGCCAUGCAGCGUUCACUGACUACGUGGCCACACUCUGGCGGAACCGGGCGCCGGCGCAGGCCAGCGCCUUGGUGCACGGCUUGAUGCCGCACCUAGCCAAAACCAACUGCCACGACCUGGUCGUGCGAUGGCAGGCUGCUGGGCAGCUGCGGCUGGGCAUGGCAUCAUUCAAGCGCCCGCGUGCAAAGCCAUCACGAGCACUGGCUGUGGCAACUCCGGAGGACCUGGUGGCGCUGGUGCUGCGGUGCCGAGCUGAAUGCGCGGAGCCGCACCGCGCAGGUUUCCUGGCCGCCAUCGAAGCGCGCACAAAGGCAGCGCUAGCAGACAGCACAGGUGCGUGGGGAUGACCCUAGAUUCAAUUGUGAGUUGGGGUAACGUAGUGACUGCCGGUACCGCAAACUUGAUGUGCCUGCCGCCUGACGGGCCCACCCUUGACACCGCGCGUCACACUGCCUGUUCCCUCGCGCCCCUUCUGCAGUCGGCACCAGCUUCGUGGCCUUCACCACACUCACGCCUGCCGCCGUCAAAGCCGCCGCAACAGCUGCGCGGCUGCAAGCGGAGGUGCAGCGGUUACAGCAACUCCGGCAAGGCAAGUGAAUGCAUGUGGGAAACAGCAGAAGUACCUUGCACCUCAUCGGAUUGUUUGGUCAUGACAAACACAUGUCGAAUCCUUGUCCAAACCGUUCUGUUGUGCCUCCCGCCAGAGAACGGCACACCGGAGCCUGCUCCUGCGCAACGGAGAGGUGGCGCUGGCGGCGCUCGCGGCGGCCCUGACAACGAGCACGCCGCUGGCCUGGAUGGCGGCGGUGGCCCCCCUGUGCACCGCCGCCACCCGGAUGGGCUCUGGGCGCGCAGCUGGCGCGGCCGCGGCCGGCGGGCGUGGGACGUGUGCCGCUGGGCGAUCCGCUGGAACACGCUGCGGCAGUUCCUGACGGUCUACGUCUGCUGCGCGCUGUGUGGAUUCACGGCCUACCCAACUGGGGAUGAGAUGGCCAAGUGGGGCAUGCGCACGCCUCUACCUGGGGAACGCCCUCCGCACGAGCUGUACAACUCGCUGCACUCGGGCGUCAUGGCGGCGCCGGACGGCACGUGGAUGCUCUGCCCCACGUGUGCCGGCAAGCAGCAGCAGGACGGCCGGGCGGAGCACGUGGUGUUCCACACGCCCGACUACGCGCGGCAGGUGGUGCGGCUGGAGCCCUCGCUGCAGAUGCUGCUGUCACUGGUCAACGUGGGCGCGGGGUUUGCGGCGAACGCCAAGGGAUACUUCACAGCACGACUGCAGCAGCCGCACGCAGUGGGCGCGGCAAUGCUGGCGUGGGACGACAGCGCAGCUGAACGGGCGCAGCUGGUGCCAGAUGGCGUGCGGGAGGUGCUGGGGUGGAGCCUCGCGUUCAACCCCAUCUACCAGGCGUACCUGUCCGUCAUAGAACAGCGCGGGCAGGACGCGCCGCAGCCGUUCCUGGGCCCGGAGGCGGUAGCAUCCUUUGCUGCUGAUGCCAUCGCCCGCAGUCCCGUAGCCUACAUGCUGCCUGAGCACAACGACAUGUGCAAGCGCGUGCUGGCGGCGGUGAUGCCCACACUGCCGCCGCCGCUUUCCCUCCGCGCGCCGCCCACAUCCUAUACGGCCGGCACGCUGCAACCACGCGCUGGGUUGCUGGGCGCAGCGGCUGUGGGCGGGGCCCUGGCUGUCGGAGGCGACGGGCUCACACAGCCACAGGUCAUCGUCUUGCCAGACGGCUCGGCUGCCGCCUCCUCAGCGGCAGUCAGCGGCCAGGACCUGCUGCUGACCGCGGAGCUGGCGAUGUUCCCAUACCUGUUCCCUUUUGGCUCCGGUGCAUUUGGCGGGUCAGCCAUGGCGUUCAGUGAGUACCUGCAGUUCCGCGCCCGCUGCUUCCUGUCAGUGUGGACUCUCGUACAGCCAUACCUGCUGCUCAUGUUCGCUGUGCGAACCACUACUCAGCUGUACGGCGGCCACCGCACCAAGGUAGUCCAGAAAGGUCGGCAGCGUCUGCGUGCGUAGGACCUCACUGGGGUGCAUGCAGGACUGCACCGCACGCUCCCUGUUGCUGGUGCUUCCUUGCAGCCGUCCUUGACACCGAGCCCUACUGUACCUGCCCACGUGCGCAGGUGGUGCUUGAGCGCGCCAUUGCUGACUACCGGAAGCGGCAUCCUGACGCCAGUGACGCCAAGCUCAUCAAGCACAUCAUCAAGUACAGCCUCCCAUCUACCAUGCCCAACACGCCGUCCUGGCACCGCCGCAACCUUCAAGACCUGCUGUGGCAGGUAAAAAAAAAAAGCCUCGGUGCGCCACGCCAAGGACCCGGAGUUUGCGGCCUUCCUAGACAUCAUCCGCGUGCGCCCGCCCACGGCGGCUGAGCUUGAGGCCGUGUUUGGCCGGUGGAGCCCCGCCACGACGCUGACGCCUGCCAGCCCGGACCCCGCCGCCUGCAGCCCCUACUACAUCUCAGAGGACAUGGUGGCACUCCUGUCCAAUGAGCGCACCACAGUGCUGUGCACGCACGUGGAGGACGCCAAGUCCUACAACCACGCCAUCCUUGAGCGCUUGGCCGCGACCGGCGCGGUGGGCAGCGUGGAGCCCUGCCCACUGCAGCACGAUGUUCCGGCGCGCUCGGUGGCAGAGGCAGGCCUGGAGAACUGGCUGCGCGACCCGUCCUUCAGAACAAUCGAGCAGGUGGCCGUGGGCGCGCGCGUGGUGCCGGUGGAGAACUGCGACCUGCACAAGGGCGCCGCCAAUGGUGCGGCGGGUGUUGUCACGCAGCUAAGCUAUGAGACGCGCGAUGACGGCCUGCGGCAGGUAUCCGGAGUCAAGGUGCGGCUGACGGACAGCGGCAAGAGCCUGUGGGUUGGGCGGCGCACCAGCGAGUACAACUGGUUCAGCGGCGUCAAGUACAGCAAGCACGCCUUGCCACUCACGCUCGGCUGGGCCAUCACCGCCCACCGCUCUCAGGUGCGGGUGCUGCUGCACUGGGCCCCUACUGCAUUGUUCGCCAGGUUCUAGGGAGGCUUGCAGCGGGAGACUUGGUGCUUUGUCACCCCCUAUUCCCCUUCAAAUGCCCGUGUCCCCCCUUGUCUACCUCUUCCACCGCAGGGUGCGACGCUCACCGGCGGCACCAUCAUCCAUGCACGCAGUGUGUUUACGCCCGGCCAGCUGUACGUCAUGCUCUCACGCGUUACAGAGCGGCGGCUGCUGCGCCUGGUCGGCCCCCUCCGGCCCGACCUGUUCACACCGGUCCGCCUGCCUAACUUUGUCCAAAUCGACGCUCUGGCAGAUAAGCAGCGCGCAUUGCAGGCUGCUGCAUUUGCGGCGGCCGCGACCGCUGUGUUGGUGGCCACCGCCACGCACCCUCCGGUGGCACCUGCUAUGGAGCCAACGGCCCUUGACGGCCUGGACUAGGGACUGGGCACCUGGGCGCCCGGUCGGUUCCUCACCCUGCCAUCACCUUUCCUUCAUUGUGAUUUGAUUGUUUCAUGCCCAUGUGCGGGCAAUGCAAGGACAUACCUGACAGCUGUUGCAUUGGUCCACGGUAGGACUGCCUAGGACUUCACGCUGGUGUGCAUGCCAAAGACUCCAUACCUGCAGUAUGCAUGUUCCUGCCUUCCUGUGGUGGGUUACGCAACGCGCUGUUUUUUUUUAAUGCCUAGGGUCGCGCUUGACCGACGCUGGUGGGCUCACUUGAUUGGCCUGGUGAUGCCUGGCGCCAGCUUUGCAGCUCUGCGGCAUGUGCGUCACACCUGUUGUGUUCACCAAUAACCUUCGCUGUAUCACCUCGCUGUCAUGGGAAGAUCGCGAGACUCGGCCUCCAUCACAACCUACCGGCGGCGCGCAUUUCGGCACCCGACCGGCCGACCUCACUCCCUUCAGCGCUGACCUCCUGGGGCCUAGUCUGGCAGCCUGUGUAAAAAUUACAUUUUGAGUGCAAGGAGCAGAGCGCGGGCCAGCACAGGACCGGGUUUCGCACCCCACAAAAUCCAAAUCCAAAUUACAUCACAGACUCCUUGCAGCGGUCCGACAGGGCCGCCUUUAAGACGCCCAUCAGUAAACCAUCUGCACCCAGUUCAGUGACCCCGGGUCACUUGGCGGUUCCCCCCGAAAUCGCGCCCCGUAGCGCCCGCGCGCAUGUCCAUAAAAUUCUUCAUAAUGCAAAAGGCCGAUGCGAGCAAAGAGAGCCAGCGAAACGGCGCCCCUCAGGAAAAACGACUUGAAUGCAGGUCGUCGCGCGCACCGUAGUGUCACUGCAAAUGCUUACAAUACAGCUAAAUGUUCAUAAUGCUCAGUUCAGCUCUUGUCGGGGGCUAACGAGCUGAGCCUGCCUUCAUCGCGCCCUCAGUAACGCCACAUCGCAUUACCUUGCCGCGGCGCCAUAGACACCGCGAUAUACUUCACAAUAUCUUUAAGUGCGUACAAACGUUUUAACAACAAUUCGUGCACGAUAACGAGCACAGGUGCUUCAAGUCGCUCUAGAACGCUGGUCGCUCCCCACUGUAGCAACGCCAUAGGCCUCGCGGGCCGCGCCUAAAUGACUUUCACAUACAUGAGGCACUGCUAGACAUGGCAGAGCUGCAAAUCCCGGCGAUGCACCUCGCGGGUUUCUGGGCAUGGCGUUGUUGCGCCGUUCCGCCAGCGAGGACGCGUCUAUCUUCCCUGCACAGCAUUUCCGACAUGCUUUGACAAGUCUCUUCGGCAAGUUCGACCACACAAAAUCCUGCGGCCAACUCGGCGCAACAGCUGCGCACAACCGGCGCCACCUCCGGUCCCGCUGGGCCCUACCAACUUGCCUGAUGCUCCUGCUCUGCACUUCAAGUCUCUCUUGCUGCUGUUCAGUUCUCUGCCUGUCAUCAACAUCCGCCUGCCUUCUCGCAUGCUGCGCAUCCCGGCGUGCCAACCGCCCAGUGCCCCGCCCUGCACACAGCCCCCUCCCCCCCCUCUCCUUGGAGGGACACCCUCACAGACGUCUUGCACCGGGGUCCGUACGGACCCCGGCUUUAAGGAGCUCCUCAGUCACCAAUCGCCGGGUUCGCGCGCCGACCCGCGCCCCAAUGGGUCACCGAAGUGGAUAACUCCCAAACCGCGCCGUUUUGUCCCCAGGUCAGCUAUAUCGUGUACAGCGGAAUGUCGAACAGGAUAAUAACCACAGAGGAACGCGAUAACCGGCUCGCACGUACAGAACGUUUUGCGCGGAUGCCAAGAUGCGUUGCCAACUGGAGCCCGCAAACCCCGCUAGGACUUCACUCAUAAGACACGCAUAAGACACAAGCAGUUCUAUCGUGUAUCGAUAAUCGUGUGUUGAACAUGUAGCGCGACAUGGAAGCCCUCGCGGAGGACGCGCGCAAUUUCAAGACUGCACACGCAGUGGCCAUCGUGCAAUUGUGUUUUAAUGGCCAGAAGAGCUUGGAACAAAGCAGGAACGCAGUGAAAAACUGGAACCAAAUUGAUAAAUGGAAGCUCACGACGCGCAGUUUAGCGUCGGGGCGAAAGCAGCUGGCCGUCACAACACCGGCGGAACUGUCGAAGGUGUUGGAGCGUUGCUCGCGGGGCGGCGCCGAUGCUGCGCUGGUGGCCGAGGUCGGCCAGCGGCUGAACCCCCUGCUGGGCCCAACAGGUAAAGAAAUGGCCAUAGCGAUUGCUAGGUGACGCGAAAUGUCAUUCAUGUCAUUCAUCGUGAGCCAACAAACUUAUGCUCGUGCCAUUGCAUGCAGGCGUGCCCGAGGAAGCCGCAGCCCCAAGCACUGCCGACUUGCCGGCAGCACCAAACCCUGGCCCGGGCGCAGGCGGCACAGCAGGUAGGCAAGUGAUACAAGGGACGGGCUUAUGUCGAAUCCUUCCUGUGCUUUGGUGUGACCUGGUUUCAUCUUCUGCCAUUUAGGUGAUGCGUCCGCCACCAGCCCGCGGCAGCCGCAGCCGCAGCCGCAGCCGCAGCCGCAGCCGCAGCCACACCCGCAGACAGAUGCCAACGCUGCUGCCCGCGAAGGUAUGUUCGGGAGUGAUGCACGCAAUGCGCACCAUCACGACAUAUUGGAGGGGAAGCUGAUGCUGAGCUAAUUCCCCGUGCACUCCAGCGCUCACGAACUUCGUGACGACGCUGUGGAAUGGGCGGGCGCCAGCGCAGGCCAGCGUUGUGGUGCACGGCCUGCUUCCGCACCUCGACAAGGGCCGAUGCCAUGACCUGGUGGUGUGCUGGCAAAAGGAGGGGAAGCUGCGCCUCGGCACAGCUUCCUUCAGGCGGAAGCGCGCCAAGCCAUCCAGGGCGCUGGCUCUCAAUACUCCGGAGGACCUGGUGGCGGUGAUCUUGCGCUGCAAGACUGAAUGCACUGGAGGGCCACAUCUUGCCGGCCUCUUGGCAGCCAUUUACACACGCACCCGGGCUGGGUUGGCUGACAGCGCAGGUGUGUGGGAGGAAGGCUGGGCUCGGUGUGUAACCUGGAUCGCAGCAUCGGAGUCCUUGGCUGCCAGACAGGCUAACCUUGUCGUGCCUUCACCAUAUCUUCCCUGCAGAUGGCACCCACUUCCUGGACUUCACCACGCUCACGCCUGCUGAAACCAAGGCUGCGGCCACCGCUGCGCGUCUGCAGGCGGAGGUGCAGCGGCUGCAGCAGCUCCGGACAGGCAAGCAUAUGCAUGUUGGGCGCUCCCUAAAUUAUGACAACUGUUGUUUUGUUACGGCUUGCGGCCGGCUGAGCGUGCUACUUCGUGUCCAACUCACCCUGCUGUGCAUCCAGAGCGCGGCACUCCGGAUCCUGCUCCUGCACGGCAGCGAGCUGGCGCUGCUGGUGGCGCACAGGCCGGCCCCGACAACGAGCACGUCGCUGGCCUGGAUGGUGGCGGCGGCACCCCUGUGCACCGCCGCCACCCGGAUGGGCUCUGGGCGCGCAGCUGGCGCGGCCGGGGCCGGCGGGCGUGGGAUGUGUGCCGCUGGGCGGUCCGCUGGAACACGCUGCGGCAGUUCCUGACGGUCUAUGUCUGCUGCGCACUGUGCGGCUUCACGGCGUACCCGACUGGCGACGAGAUGGCGAAGUGGGGCUUGCGCACGCCGCGGCCGGGCGAGAGCCCACCGCACGAGCUGUACAACGCGCUGCACUCUGGCGUCAUGGCGGGGCCGGAUGGUUCGUGGAUGCUCUGCCCUACGUGUGCCGGCAAGCAGCAACAGGACGGCCGGGCGGAGCAUGUUGUGUUCCACACGCCAGACUACGCGCGGCAGGUUACACGGCUUGAUCCCUCGCUGCAGAUGCUGCUGUCACUGGUGAACGUGGGCGCGGGGUUUGCAGCCAACGCGAAGGGCUAUUUCACUGCGCGGCUGCAGCAGCCGCAUGCAGUGGGUGCGGCGAUGCUGGCGUGGGACGACAGCGCGUCCGAGCGGGCGCAGCUGGUGCCUGAGGGUGUGCGGGAGGUGCUGGGCUGGAGCCUGGCGUUCAACCCCAUCUACCAGGCGUACCUGUCCGUCAUCGAACAGCGCGGUCCCGAUGCGUCGCAGUCGUUCUUGGGCCCGGAGGCGGUGGCGUCCUUUGCUGCUGAUGCCAUUGCCCGCAGCCCCGUCGCCUACAUGCUGCCGGAGCACAACGAGAUGUGCAAGAGCGUGCUGGCGGCGGUGAUGCCAACACUGCCGCCGCCGCUGUCGCUCCGUGCGCCGCCUACGUCAUACACCGCCGGCACGCUGCACCCACGUGCUGGGCUGCUCGGUGCAGCAGCAGUGGGCGGGGCCCUGGCGGUCGGAGGGAAUGGGCUCACGCAGCCACAGGUCAUCAUCCUGCCGGACGGCUCGGCGGCCGCCUCCUCUGCACCCGUGGGCGGACAGGACCUGCUGCUCACCGCGGAGCUGGCCAUGUUCCCCUACCUAUUCCCCUUUGGCUCUGGCGCCUUUGGAGGCUCGUCCAUGGCGUUCAGCGACUACCUGCAAUUCCGUGCCCGGUGCUUUCUGUCCGUGUGGACACUUGUCCAGCCGUACCUGCUGCUCAUGUUCGCUGUCCGCACAACCACUCAGCUGUAUGGCGGCCACAACACCAAGGUAGGUGCCACCAGUGGGCGGGAUAGGCAGCAUGCGUCAACGACGUAAGUCCAUAUUGUUGCCUGCUUCUGCUGUGACUAGUGGUUACCAGAGAUGGUUAUUGGCCCCGCACUUGCUGCUGGUUGUGGUCUCAGCAGUCUCGCUCCUCCCUGUGCUCUUCCCUGCCCGCCCUGUUCGCAGGUGGUGCUCGAGCGUGCCAUCGCUGAGUACCGCAAACGACAUCCCGAUGCCAAUGACGAAAAGCUGAUCAAGCACAUCAUCAAGUACAGCCUGCCAUCCACCCUGCCCAACACGCCAUCGUGGCACCGCCGCAACCUGCAAGACCUGCUGGCGCUGGUGGACCGGUGGGGCCUGCCCACCCACUUCCUUACGCUCACCGCCGACGAGUUCUCCACGUCCCGCUGGGAAGAGGUGGAAACGCUCGAGGACAUGGUCCGCAAGUGAGUUCCACAGCGCUGGUCAGAGCCUGUGCGCAGAGGGGCAUCACCACGCGUUGUGAACUUGGGCUUGCUUGAGGUGUUUCCUCCAGUCUUACACUGUUGCGCUACGUGUGCCCGUGUGCCCGCUUUCAGGUUCUGCACCAGCGCCACUUGGCGAGAUGCCCCCGCCGAGAAUGCCUACCUGUUUCAUCGCCGUGUCCAGAUGUUCAUGCGCGAGAUGCUGCGCACGCGGCGAGGCGGCAAGUCUGGUGGCAAGGGCGAGUCCGGCGUGCUGGGCCGCGUCCAGCACAACGUGACCCGGUACGAGGUCCAGGGCCGCCAGUCCCUUCACGCCCACAUUCUUCUGUGGGUGCAUCCGGAUGACGUCGACCGUGUCUCAUCUGAGAUCGUCGCGUGUGUCCCUGCAAAGUACGUGGGCAAGGACGGCGUGUGUGAUGAGCACGACCCCAAUUGCCCCAAUGGCCGCGAGUGCUGGGAGGCCCCCAGCGACGACCCGCAUGCGCUCACCCUCUUCGACCACGUGAUGAGCAAGCAGGUCCACUUCUGCACGCCCAUCAAGCGCCCCGGCUGUCGCAAGCAGGGUACCUGCCGCUACGGCUUUCCAUGGAAACCGCACGACUCACCGGUCCCGAUCGUGGACCCUGCCACGCGGCGCUACGUCUACUACCGGCCGAGCUGGGCGCACCGCAACGUGUCGCCGUACCACCCAACAGUGGCGCUGCUGUGGGGCGCGCACAUGAACCUGCAGCGCAUCACCUCAUCAGACUGGAGCUUUUAUGUCCUCAAGUACGCCAUGAAGGUGAGGUUCGGUUAGUUGGUCGUUGCCAGGGCUCAUGCACGUGUUCGAGUAGGAGACAUGAAGCCCAGCUGCCCCCAACUCAUGGCGCCCUGCCUGCUGUGUGCAGACCGAGCCGAGCGGCCACCUGAACCUGACCGACGCAAGCCGUGUUGCGCUGGGCCUUCCCGAGGACCAGCCCGGUGCCGCUUUCAGCACCACGUACCUGGUCAAGAUCAUCUCGGCCUACCUCACCUCCACCGCUCUGAGCCCGACGCUUGCCUUCUUGGGCUGCGCCCAGAUCAACACGGUAGGUCCCCUGGCUACUUGGACGGGCUAAACGGCAAGGUGGAAUCUCAAAGUUACGCUUGACUUGUGUUGGCAUUCGCAUCAGCGUCAGCGUCGCUUUCCUCACGUUCUUUGGGGCUGAUAUUGUCCCUGCGACCCCGUUCAUAUCCCCACUAAUCUACGCCACCUCAUGCGGCCUGGCGACACAGGUCUUCAUGUCCUCGGGCGUGGACUUCGUGUGCAGUGCUCCGCCAACCACACGCACGCGCACGGUUUUCAAGGGCGCGAAGCUGUGCGCCUGCCCUGUGGACAUGUACUCCCUGCGCCCGACCAGCCUGGCGCAUGUGACCUUCACAUCCUACUUCCGCAACUACCGCCUGGUGCCCGCGAAGGCGCCGCGCGGCUGGAGAGCUGGUGCGCAGCGCACGGCGGUUGGCCUUACAGCCGCGGCCGCUGUGGCAACAGCGACCGCUGGCGGAUUGGCGGCGGUUGCCACCGGUGGGCUGGGCGCUGCAGCUGCUCUUGGCGUCGCCGCCGCGGCAGGCGCGGCCGGGGCAACCGUUGCCAGGGCGGCCGCACGAGCAGCUGGGGCCGCGGCAGCAACGGAGCGGGACGGGCCUGUGCUACGGCAGGCGCCGCCGGGCGGGGAGUUGGUGGGUCCAACCCAGGACCGCCACUUCAACGUCUACAAGCUGCGCGAGCCCCGCAUCGUGCGGUUCUCCGACUACAACCCCGCCUCCGACCCCGAGGGCUACUUCUACAAUCUCCUGCUGCAGCAGGCGCCCUUCACCAAGGAGUCCGACCUGAUCUCCGCUGAGAAUGACUCCCGCACCUACUUUGAGGAGUGCCGCCUGCGGAAGCUGGUGCAGAACACCAGCGACCUGGAGGUGCACCUGCAGAGGUGAGGCGGGCCAAGCCGGGGGCAGGCCCACCAGCUGGUCAUACGUUCCUUCCCCGUUUGGCAUUGCAUCUUGUUGCCAUCCCUGUUCCUUAGGUACCCAUGUGCACACCCGUGUCCGCUCCAUUGCACUGACACCCGCCUCUGUGCGCCCCCCGCCGCUGACCAUGCAGCUAUGCGAACUACCACCUCUACAACGCCCAGCGUCGGCAGGCGCUGCUGGCCACGCUGCUUGGCAAGUACACGCCGUCUGAGGCCACCGAUGAUGGCGACGAGCUGAACCCGGAGGCCACGGCCUUUACUGUCAGCUAUGGCGGGCUGCGGGACCCUCCCCAGGCCGCUGCCCGACCGGCCCGUGGAGGGGCUGCCACUGCCGCUGCGGCGCGGGGGGACUCCGCUGCCCUCAAGGCGGCGCUGGCGGCGGAGUUUGAGGAACUCGACACUGUACCAUACACGGACGCGCAGGACGCCACGGUUGAGGCCAUCCUGCGCCACCAAGCAGGCGUCAUUGUGCUCACGGGCGGGCCGGGCAGCGGCAAGACCUUCACCACCAAGAAGCUCACGCGCCAGCUGCGGCAGAUGGGCAAGACCGUCAUGCUGACCGCCAGCACCGGCGCCGCAGCCGUGCGCCUCAGCGCCUUCGCGACCACCAACCACGGCGCCUUCGACCUGCCCUGCGGCACCGGCGCCAUGUCCAGCUGGGUCAUGGGCAGCUCGGAUGUGCACCCCAAGGCGGAGGCAUUGCGUGCAGCCGACGUGUUCAUCAUCGACGAGUUCUCCAUGAUGACGGAUGCACAGCUCACCCUUGUCCUCACCCGCAUCUUCCACGCCUGCCAUUACGCCACGCUCGACGAGAUGCUGGCCAACAAGCUGAUCAUCCUGGUCGGCGACCACGCUCAGGUGUGUGUCGCGUUGGGCAAACAGAGAGCAUGCGGGCACAUACGCGCUAACGGCAGAUUGUCUCAAACCUCCAGGUGUCAGCUUCUCUUCCUGCACACCUUCAUGUGCCCCUGUGUGCCCCGCUUCAUGCCCUCCCCAACGCAGCUGCCGCCCGUCUGCAACUGCGCUGCGAGGGCGGGCCACUCUGCUGCCGUGCUGCGCGCGGCGGCCCCUCAGGAUGCUGCUGCUGGGCCCGAUGACCUACCGCUGUGUGAGUCCUGCCACAUCGCGUCCAACCCCUUCUUUGGCCUGGCGCCCAAGUACCGGCUGCCCGCCUCGGUGCGCCACGCCAAGGACCCGGAGUUUGCUGCCUUCCUGGACAUCAUCCGCGUGCGCCCGCCCACAGCCGAUGAGCUUGAGGCGGUGUUCGGGCGGUGGAGCCCCGCAGCUACACUGACGCCCACCAGCGCGGACCCGGCGGCCUGCAGCCCCUAUUACAUCUCUGAGGACAUGGUGGCGCUCCUGUCCGACGAGCGCACCACAGUGCUGUGCACGCACGUAGAGGACGCCAAGGCCUACAACCACGCCAUCCUGGAACGCCUGGCCGCCACCGGCGCGGUGGGCAGCGUCCAGCCCUGCCCACUGCAACACGAUGUGCCGGCGCGCUCGGUGGCUGAGGUGGGCCUGGAGACCUGGCUGCGCGACGCAUCCUUCCGGACCAUCGAGCAGGUAGCGGUGGGCGCGCGCGUGGUGCUGGUGGAGAACUGUGACCUGCACAAGGGCGCCGCCAACGGCGCAGCAGGAGUGGUCAUUGAGCUCAGCUACCAGACACGCGAUGACGGUGUGCAGCUGGUGUCGGGAGUCAAGGUGCGGCUGACGGGCAGCGGCAAGUGCCUGUGGAUUGGGCGGCGCACCAGCAAGUACAACUGGUUCAGCGGCGUCAAGUACAGCAAGCACGCCUUUCCGCUCACACUGGGCUGGGCCAUCACCGCUCACCGCGCUCAGGUGCGGGCCGGAGCAGGGAAGGGGGGGGAACACAGGCCAAAUGCUGUCACCCACUGCCGAUAUGCCGCGCUCCCUGCCUGACCUCGCCUACCUGCCUGCCUAACUUUGUGCCUCCCUGCUCAAUCCCAGGGAGCCACGCUCAGCGGCGGCACCAUCAUCCACGCACGGAGUGUGUUCACGCCCGGCCAGCUGUACGUCAUGCUGUCGCGUGUGACGGAGCGCCGGCUGCUGCGCCUGGUGGGCCCGCUCCGGCCUGAGCUGUUCACACCGGUGCGGCUGCCCAACUUCGUGCAGAUCGACGCGCUGGCGGAGAAGCAGCGCGCCAUGCAGGCUGCUGCAUUUGCGGCAGCGGCGACCGCUGUGCUACUUGCGGCGGCUGCGCCCCCUCCCGCGGUGCCAGCCAUGGAGCCGAUGGACAUUGAUGGCCUGGACUAGGCUAAAUUGCGCUGCCAACACCUGCAUUCAUUGUCCCUUGACAUUCAUUAUUGACACGUUUGCGGUUGUGGUUUUCAUGCCAUGGAGUUCGCGCAUUGGUAUUCCGGUGUGCGCACGAUGGAUGCGAGUUUCCAGUAUGUGCCCAUGAGUCUUUUGGCGGCAGUAUGCUGCUGAUGCUUGGCGCCUUCCUUCUGCUUGCUCUGCGCCUUCCUUCUGCUUGCUUUGCUGUUGCACCUGGCUGUCAUGGGUGGCUGGGUGUCGAGUGAAGAUGCCAGCAGUGCAUUCCGCUGUGUGUUUUGCUGCUGUGGACCAGGUGCGAACACUGCUGCAUUGAACCUGCAAGGAGUCCUUGCUGUUGUGGGUUACACGGCGCACUGCUUUUGGUGCCUAGGUAGGGUCGCGCUUGACCAAUGCUGGUGGGCUCACCUGGGCUGCUGAUGCCUGGCGCCAGCUUGACAGCUGUGCAGCAUGUGCAUCACACGUCCUGUGUACGCCAAAACCUUCGCUGUAUCACCUCGCUGACAUGGGAUGCAUCACAAGACUCGGCCUCCAUCACCAACCUGCCGGCGGUGCGCACUUCGGCACCCGGCGGGCCGACCUCACUCCCCAAACCCAAUAAGUGACCCCUGAGGCCUUGCCUUGCAGCCGGUUUACCAAUUACAAUUCGAGUGCAAGGAAUACAGCGCGGGCGAGCACAGGACCGGGGUUUCGCACCCCACAAAAUCCAGAUCCAAAUCACAUCACAGACUCCUUUGCAGCGGUCCGACAGGGCCGCCUUUAAGACGCCCCUCAGUCACCAAUCGCCGGGAUCGCGCGCCGACCCAGGCCCCAAUGGGUCACCGAAGUGGAUCCCCCCCAAAAUCGCCCCGUUUAGCCCCGCAAUUAACACCAUAUAAUACAAACGUAUUAAAAAGGAAUGCACAACUCAAUAACAGAGCGAGAGCGAGCGCCAGCGAUGAAUUCCCACCUCCCCAGAUCCAAACCAAAUCCAAACUCACAACACAGACGUCUAGCAGCGGCCCCCGUACCGGGGCCGCCUUUAUGCUGCCAGGGUAUAUGGACGAAAUGGACAUGAAAAACGACCCUGGGUCAAUUUGCACGACUACCUGAAUACCGCGUUUGGCCGCCCGCGAGUUCCCGAGAUGGAAUCCCCCCGUUGCACAGACCGCCAAAGUCGCGCCCGUUUGGCGAGCUCGCCGCAGGAGCGUGACUUCAUUGUUUUGCCAUACUUCCUCAAUAGCGCGAUUUGUGAGCCGCGAACUCGUGCAGACCGAAGCCCGUCUUCAACAGUUUUCCGCAGUUCCCCGGCGUGCCUGUGGGUGCUUUGCACGGGGCGCCACCGCACGUUGACAGGACAGAUUUUGCACAGACGUGUUUGGCACGCACCGCACAGCCACGUAAGCAGUAAGCACAUAAGCCGCGGUGCCGACUGGGCGGAGCGGCAGAACGCGGCGGGGAACCAGAGAUAGCGAGGGCGCCGAGGAAGCGGAUCGACUUUGGAUCGAGCAGAAUGGCGGAGCAAGCAAGACCGCCUCUCUAAGCCUAAGCUUGCUAAAGAAGUGUUUGAGAUAUAAUAGAGUAUUAGUUGAGCAAUUCUACAGUGCCAGACGAGGGCUGUCUGCCUCAAGCUGUCGGGACAGGCACAAGGCCACGAGAAGCGCAAGCGACGCGCAGGCUUGGUGCGGCCGGCUUUUAGUAGAUAAUAGUAUUAUGUUGACAAGGGUCCCGCGGCCGAAUAGCGAGCGCUAGGCGGUAGGCCUAGCGCUGGGCCUAGACGGCUGAGAACUUUGCGGAUGCGCAAGAGAACGCCGCUGGUGAAGCGCGGCUGUGUUUGGGAGCUGAAAGGGUAUUAGUUGCGCGCAGCGAUGCGGACGCUGGCGCGGUGUGCGCGUAUGGGGCCCGAUGGGCCUUUAGUGAAGUUGGUAGCACGUAGGCCUCUCGGUGCAGUUGCGUAGCACUUGCGGUUUGGGGCCUAGGCCCGUACGACCUGUACGGGUCCCAUCCGGCCAAUGCAGGGGCCGAGGGCAAGAUAUAAGCGAGCGAGCUGUGCUGUGUCAGUCACUCCGCCACUACGGCGCGGUCACUCCUGAGCAAUCAUAGGAGUCACUCUCAACAAGACUCUUUAAUUACGAGUCUCUAGUAUUGUAAUACAAGUUGGACAAAGAACGAUCCCUUGUAUCGCGGCCCCUUGCGCCCGGCGCGAAGUCGCCCGCUCGCGCAAGUCUAGGCUAGCCUUUCCCCUCCCCCACAGGGUGCCUCCCGGCACGACCAAGUACCCGUUCGAAGCCCCCUUCCCCCUCCCCUUACUAUCUCUCACCUACUCCGGUUCAUCCGAGCCCCAGACUCUCCCCUCUCCCCUACCCCACACCGCUGUGCCUGUUGCCCCCGACCUAUCCCCGUAAGUCCUGAGCCGUUACCCGCAGCCCGUCAGUGAUAGCCAAGGCCCCUGCCCACACUAGGGUCAAGAGUACCCCUACCCGCAUAGCGUACGCCAGUGAAGAGCCUCUGCGCCGGGUUGCAUACGUGUAGUGUCUGGCAGCGAUUAGGUACAGCAGCUGAUAGCAGGGCGAGCUGGGAGCGAGCCAGAGCAGGGUCCGGUUCGGUAGUUGGGCCUGAGCCCGUUCGGUUAGUGGCAGUAGCAGGGAGUGAGGGAGACAGAGACGGGCGUCAGAUAGCGUGAGAUAGUACAGGGCCUGGGCCUAGGCAGUGGGGCGGACGGCAUUGGACCGGGCACGCACGCCUUGUCUGCGGGUUGGGUCGUCGGGGGCUCUCCCCCCCCUUCCCUUGGGGUGUUCGCCUCCCCUGCCCCAGAUUGCAGGUCGACUGCGACACCUCUGGUCUGAAGAAGUUUUGCUUAUCCCUGCACCUGGUCUACCUGACCUGCGUGUGACCAAGUCCCCGACACGCCGUGCCGGCUUGCGGGACCUGCUUGCUUUCCUGUCUCCCCUCUCUUCUCCCUUCCUGUCUCUACCACCCGCCGCGUGCCCCGCACGCGAAGGGGAACUCCAGCUCCCGCCAGCGGCGGUGACUCUACUCGGGCAACCCGACCGACCUUAUCUCUCUAAUCUCUGAUUACCCUGGGCGGCAAGGUUGAGUGAGACAGCCUUUGCCAUGGCUGUGCGCCUGCACGCACGCCACCCAUCCGGCUCUGUACGAGCCCCUGCUCCUGUUAUCCAACCCGCCUAGACCAAACAGCGAAGCCCCUCCCGUGAGUAAAACAGCUACCGACGUCCCCAUACGGCGGCGCUGGGCACUGCUGGGAUCGAAGAGCCCCCUCUACGGCACGCGAUCUGCCCCGACAGCUAUUGACACGCGGCGAUAAAGUUAGGCGAAAAAAGUGUCCUGUCAUCUCUGGGGGGUCGGCACGCCUUUGUUGGUUUCGCUACCGGGACUUCUUCCAUCCCCCAGUAGCCACUCAUGUCAGACGAAGAUGGCUUUCCCCGCCGAGCGCGGCCUAGCGCUUUCCAUACCGAUCUGCAAGGACUUGACUAUGAACGUAUCACCCAACACUGCGAGCGCUUCGACCCGCAGUGGCAUUCUGUGCGUGAUUGGCUGGAGUCCGUAGAUGAGUUGGCAGAGGAAUUCGGUUGGACUGAGUCACGAAAGCUCCAACUUGCCUCUAAACGGCUUGGCCCCACGGCCAAGGAGUGGUACCGGUCAUGGAAGCUAGCCAACCCCAUGGCAUCGUCCACUUGGGAGGGCUUCUGUGACGCCCUGCGCGAGCGCUGGGGUGUGUCAGACCGCGAGCUGCAUCUGGCCCUCGCCAACUGCACACAAGGCCCCAAGGAGACGGUGCGCGAGUACGCCGACCGUUACCUGGGCCUCGUGACCCAACUGCGCCUCGACUAUAACCGUGACCCUACCCACAUGCACAACUUCAUGAGGGGCUUGCAUCCCGACAUCUACGACUCCGUGUACGACAUGGAGCCGCACAACCUAACCGCUGCCAUCCGCAAGGCGAUCUACGCCAGCGAGAAGGGCAAGCUGUCCAAGGC